CAAAGAUUCUGGCCUUCCUCUUGCUAAUACCCGUCCUCUAGCCCAUGCGUACACCUACACAUAUACACCUACACAUAUACACCUACACAUAUACACACCUCCACAUAUACACACCUACACAUACACGCCUACACAUACAUGCCUACACAUAUACGCCCACACAUAUACACCUACACAUAUACACACCUCCACAUAUCCACACCUCCACAUAUACGCCUACAUAUAUACACCUACACAUAUACAGCUACACAUAUACACCUACACAUAUACACACCUACACAUAUACACACCUACACAUAACACACCUACACAUAUACACACCUACACAUAUACACACCUACACAUACACACCUACACAUAUACACCUACACAUAUACACCUACACAUAUACACACCUACACAUAUACACACCUACACAUAUACACACCUACACAUAUACACCUACACAUAUACACACCUCCACAUAUACACACCUACACAUAUACGCCUACACAUAUACACCUACACAUAUACAGCUACACAUAUACAGCUACACAUAUACACACCUACACAUAUACACACCUAAACAUAUACACCUACACACAUACAUACUGGUUUAAAGACUGCAUAAGGACAAC
rnacentral:lncRNA from 1 species